AUACUUACCUGGCAGGGGAGACACCAUGAUCACGAAGGUGAUUUUCCCAGGGCGAGGCUCACCCAGUACACUCCGGAUGUGCUGACCCCUGUGAUUUCCCCAAAUGUGGGAAACUCGACUGCAUAAUUUGUGGUAAUGGGGGACUGCGUUAGCACUCUCCCCUG
rnacentral:snRNA from 1 species